GACAGAGGGUGCAAACGUUGUUCGGAAUCACUGGGCGUAAAGCGCACGUAGGCGGACUCUUAAGUCAGGGGUGAAAUCCUGGAGCUCAACUCCAGAACUGCCUUUGAUACUGGGAGUCUUGAGUUCGGGAGAGGUGAGUGGAACUGCGAGUGUAGAGGUGAAAUUCGUAGAUAUUCGCAAGAACACCAGUGGCGAAGGCGGCUCACUGGCCCGAUACUGACGCUGAGGUGCGAAAGCGUGGGGAGCAAACAGG
rnacentral:rRNA from 1 species